CAACCCCUAAGCACAGCUUAUUGUUGGGAACCUACGGCUUCGUAGUUCCUCAAAGACAUUGGCGGAGUGGCAGUGGUCCUCUGAGCGUAGUAAUCUUUUAUCUCGCUUCUGUUAGGUGCUGCCCCCCGGCCGUAAAACCCCCAAUUUUUUCU
rnacentral:misc_RNA from 2 species